rnacentral:lncRNA from 1 species
CGGGAAUGCUACUGCGUGGCUGUGGCGCUCAAGGGGCCCCUGAAGCCCCCGUGCCCAAACCCGGAAUGACUCACCGUAAUGGGGCUGCAGUGGUGGUGGGGUAGUUUGGAAGAGUUCCUCAGGAGUAUAAGGUGGACCUACUAUGGUCCUGAGCCAGGGGUGGGAUGGCUGUGGUGGCGGUGGGGACACUGGGAUGCUCUGCACCGUUGGUUCUGCUUAAGAAUCCGUCUAUUUCCAACUUUGUUGUCCGUAGCCACACAGUCUUACCAGUGGUAUUCUUGGGGUCCCCCUAACAUGCAGUGUCGCCUCUGCGCAUCUUGUUGGACAUAUUGGAAGAAAUAUGGUGGCUUGAAAAUGCCAACCCGGUUAGAUGGAGAGAGGCCGGGACCAAACCGCAAUAACAUGGUAAGUGGGACACACCAUACCUAUCUGUCACCUGCUGCAUGUCAACCUCAGGUCCUUGGCUUCCAGUCACAGUGCUAUAUUGGGGCGGUGUGCCCCAUUCCACAGAGUCCCCAUGGCAUCCCAGCUCGGAGCAGUGGGAGCCCCAAGUUUGCCA